UCUAAUUUACUAUUUACUUUCGUUAUACUUUUUUUAUUUUCACUCUCCCCCUUAGGACUAGAUUGUUUCAAUCCUAGUCACAGUUCGAACCAAAUCAAAAGUUUUGUUCUAACCCGAUUGAAACAAAUAUUUUUCAACCUCUAUCUUGCAACCUCUGGAAUCAGAGAAGAGGGUCUUCCUAGUAUAUAAUAAAUAUCAAGAUAUGUAUUCUCAACGUGC